AAUGACAAAAUUAUACUUUAAAAUGGCAGUGAACAUGAGCAGACCCAUUGGGCUACUCAAGAACUUCAUUAGAUCCCAUGUGUAAGGAUUACUAGUGCCUCGCUUUUCAGCUAAGGAAACUAAGGCGGAGGGCAGGUGGUGAUGUCACUUAGAAUGCCCCACGUCACCAUGGGAAUGGCUUUGUCCCACAUGAAUCUGAUACUCCUGAGUCACACUCUUCCUGAGUUAUAAGCUGAGGGUGGAUUUGCCAAGGGACAUUUCUGGACCAAGAUGAAACGCUGAAUGACUGCGAGUGAAAGCAGAGGCGCCAUGGAAACCACUGGAUCCCGUCCAUCUCCAAAACUGAGGGCUUUCCUGCAAACUUCACACUCAGGAAUCCAUGACGUCGCCUCCUCCGCGGCCAGCCAGCGCCGUGGCUCCUUCGGCCGCCAGCACAAGUCCCUGAUUGUUCGCGAGAGAAGUCCGGGAGAGGGAGCGAAGCGGGAGACCGCGGGGCGCAGGGGGUGGGGCGGCCCUGCACCAGCUCCGGGCCGCGGUGGGCAGGGAUCGCGCGGCCACCGCCUUCCUGCAGCAGCUCUUAAUAAAUCAUGCCUAAGACUCCCGGGUUCCCCGCUUUCCAAGCGGGCGCCCCUCGGAGAAAGCGCCCCUCGGUACAAAGCAGCAGGCUGCGGAGGCCCAGUCCCUUCACGGCCUCUGGCUGCCCAGAUGUUUGGGUGUUCGGGAUGGUGAGGAGGAGGAGGAGGAGGAGGAAGGAAAAGAAAUAAAUAAUAGUGCCUGUGUCAACUAUCCAAC
rnacentral:lncRNA from 1 species